rnacentral:rRNA from 1 species
CCUACGGGUGGCAGCAGUGGGGAAUAUUGGACAAUGGGGGGAACCCUGAUCCAGCCAUGCCGCGUGUGUGAAGAAGGCCCUCGGGUUGUAAAGCACUUUCAGUGAGGAAGAACGCCUGGUGGUUAAUACCCAUCAGGAAAGACAUCACUCACAGAAGAAGCACCGGCUAACUCCGUGCCAGCAGCCGCGGUAAUACGGAGGGUGCGAGCGUUAAUCGGAAUUACUGGGCGUAAAGCGCGCGUAGGUGGCUUGAUAAGCCGGUUGUGAAAGCCCCGGGCUCAACCUGGGAACGGCAUCCGGAACUGUCAAGCUAGAGUGCAGGAGAGGAAGGUAGAAUUCCCGGUGUAGCGGUGAAAUGCGUAGAGAUCGGGAGGAAUACCAGUGGCGAAGGCGGCCUUCUGGACUGACACUGACACUGAGGUGCGAAAGCGUGGGUAGCAAACAGGACUAGAUACCCGGGUAGUC